rnacentral:rRNA from 1 species
UGGCGAACGGGUGAGUAAUACAUCGGAACGUGUCCGCUCGUGGGGGACAACCAGCCGAAAGGUUGGCUAAUACCGCAUGAGUUCUACGGAAGAAAGAGGGGGACCCGCAAGGGCCUCCCGCGAGCGGAGCGGCCGAUGACUGAUUAGCCUGUUGGUGAGGUAACGGCUCACCAAAGCAACGAUCAGUAGCUGGUCUGAGAGGACGACCAGCCACACUGGGACUGAGACACGGCCCAGACUCCUACGGAAGGCAGCAG